CCUACGGGUGGCAGCAGUGAGGAAUAUUGGUCAAUGGGCGCGAGCCUGAACCAGCCAAGUAGCGUGAAGGAUGACUGCCCUACGGGUUGUAAACUUCUUUUAUACAGGAAUAAAGUGGGCCACGUGUGCCUUUUUGUAGGUACUGUAUGAAUAAGGAUCGGCUAACUCCGUGCCAGCAGCCGCGGUAAUACGGAGGAUCCGAGCGUUAUCCGGAUUUAUUGGGUUUAAAGGGAGCGUAGAUGGGUUGUUAAGUCAGCUGUGAAAGUUUGCGGCUCAACCGUAAAAUUGCAAUUGAUACUGGCAGCCUUGAGUACAGUUGAGGCAGGCGGAAUUCGUGGUGUAGCGGUGAAAUGCUUAGAUAUCACGAAGAACUCCGAUUGCGAAGGCAGCUUACUAAACUGCCACUGACAUUGAUGCUCGAAAGUGUGGGUAUCAAACAGGAUUAGAUACCCCAGUAGUC
rnacentral:rRNA from 1 species